rnacentral:rRNA from 1 species
AACCUUGGGUCUGGCUGGCCGGUCCGCCUCACCGCGAGUACUGGUCCGGCUGGACCUUUCCUUCUGGGGAACCUCAUGGCCUUCACUGGCUGUGGGGGGAACCAGGACUUUUACUGUGAAAAAAUUAGAGUGUUCAAAGCAGGCCUUUGCUCGAAUACAUUAGCAUGGAAUAAUAGAAUAGGACGUGCGGUUCUAUUUUGUUGGUUUCUAGGACCGCCGUAAUGAUUAAUAGGGAUAGUCGGGGGCGUCAGUAUUCAGCUGUCAGAGGUGAAAUUCUUGGAUUUGCUGAAGACUAACUACUGCGAAAGCAUUCGCCAAGGAUGUUUUCAUUAAUCAGGGAACGAAAGUUAGGGGAUCGAAGACGAUCAGAUACCCGUCGUACUCUUAACCAUAAACUAUGCCGACUAAGGGAUCGGGCGGUUGUUUCUUUUGAUGGACCCCGCUUCGGCCCCCUUACCAAAAAAUCAAAAUUUUUUUGGUUUCUGGGGGAGAAGUAUGGGUCCCCACGGCUGAAACUUUAAAAAAAAUUGACGGGAGGGGGCACCAACACGGCGUGGAAGCCAGCGGGCUUUCUUUUUACUCAACACCCGGGAAACUCACCAUGUCCCAAAAAGAAUGGGGAUUGACACAUUGAGAGCUCUUUCUUGAUCUUUUGGAUGGUGGUGCAUGGCCGUUCUUAGUUGGUGGAGUGAUUUGUCUGCUUAAUUGCGAUAACGAACGAGACCUCGGCCCUUAAAUAGCCCGGUCCGCAUUUGCGGGCCGCUGGC